ensembl:lncRNA
AGGAAACAAGUCUUUUAAUUACAAAAUAGCGUUACUUUUAAACUGACAACUGAAUAAGGAAAGUAUGGUUUUACCUUGCUGACAUGUUCCGACUGCAUCUGCAGAAUUCAGAGUCAUCGAUGUGCGAUGACGUGUAGUAAGAAACGACAAAUGAACAGAAUCCAACUUUCAAUUAUUGCAUUUAUUCAUGUUACACCAGAUAUUUCAAGAUUACAGUUAUAUUUAUUGAUAAAAAAACAACUAGCUUUAUUUAUAUUAAAAAAAACAUUUUGUUAAUGGAAAAAACAUUUAAAAGUGUAAAUUUCUGAAAAUGAAGCUAUGGCAGUGUUUCAUUAACAUUUUUCUCAUGAGGGUUUUUUUCUGCAACACCUGACUGUUACAGACUUUAAGUUUACGACAUCUAAAAGGUCCCUGAAGAAAUUUCGUGUGUGCCGACAGAACAAAGACAGUCAACAUUUAUAAGAUCUGAAGUCACUGGAUGGCACCUGAACAGUACGGUUCAGCCACAGGACAUGGUGGAGGCCGGCUAGGUGGUGGUGCUAGAGGCGCCCGAGGAUGUCAUGGAGGUCAGCUGGGUUGUGGUGGUGGUAGGGGCGCUCGAGGAUGUCGUGGAGGUCGGCUGGGUCGUGGUGGUGGUAGGGGCACUCGAGGAAGUCGUGGAGGUCGGCUGGGUCGUGGUGGUGGUGGUAGGGGCGCUCGAGGACGUCGUGGAGGUCGGCUGGGUCGUGGUGGUGGUAGGGGCGCUCGAGGAUGUCGUGGAGGUCGGCUGGGUCGUGGUGGUGGUAGGGGCGCUCGAGGACGUCGGCUGGGUCGUGGUGGUGGUAGGGGCGCUCGAGGACGUCGUGGAGGUCGGCUGGGUCGUGGUAGGGGCGCUCGAGGACAUCGUGGAGGUCGGCUGGGUCGUGGUGGUGGUAGGGGGGCUUGAGGACGUUGGCUGGGUCGUGGUAGGGGCCCUCGAGGACGUCGGCUGGGUCGUGGUGGUGGUAGGGGCGCUUGAGGACGUCAUGGAGGUCGGCUGGGUUGUGGUGGUGGUAGGGGCGCUGGAGGACAUCGUGGAGGUUGGCUGAGUCGUGGUGGUAGGGGUGCUUGAGGACGUCAUGGAGGUCGGCUGGGUCGUGGCAGGGGGACUCGAGGACGUCGUGGAAGUCGGCUGGGUUGUGGUGGUGGCAGGGGGGCUCGAGAACAUCGUGGAGGUCGACUGGGUUGUGAUGGUGGCAGGGGGGCUCGAGGACGUCGUGGAGGUCGGCUGGGUUAUGGUAGGGGGGCUCGAGGACGUCGCGGAGGUCGGCUGGGUCGUGGUGGUGGUAGGGAGGCUCGAGGACGUCGUCUGGGUGGUGGCCGUCGUGCUUGGUGGCUCGGUGGGGCAGGUGACUGUUGUGGUGUCCUUAUGGGGAUCGCAGUCACUCAUGGGGUGGGGUUCAAGUUCCAUAUGAGGCCCUUCAGGAAUAUUGUUUAAUCCCCACAAAUCAAAGAUCUUUGAAUCAUCAUCUAUCCCCGGGAUGAUUACAGGAACAAGCAUGACAGUUGUUGUUGUUUCCUCGUCCUCACAUGGAGGUUCCACGGUUCCCAUCAUUUCAGCCUCCUCAGUCCCCUGUGUGGGUUCUACACUGAAUGAAUCAUGAGGAUUCACCCCCCAGUCCCACUGGUCCUGGUGUUGCAGAGCUCUGCGCCGACGAUCCCGCGCAUCUCCUCUGGCUGCACUGAAACAAGCCGCCAGCAUCGUGGACAUCUCCCCAGCCGAGUCCAAAUAGAUCACUUCAAACAUGGAGUCCUGCACAACAUUCAGCCAUUAGUUCUCCACCCAACUAUGACAAACUGGAUGGUGGAUCACUCCAUCCUUACCUUGUCUGCCGGUGUGGAGAUCUGCACCAACACUGGCCCUGGAGUAGUGGUGGUCUGCACCCUCCCAACCACCACAUCUUUCCCCAGAGCCUUCACCUUCUGCAGUCUGCUUCCCUGAGGCAGUUUCACAGCCACUUCUGUGCUCCUGCAGCUCACCGCCGGCAGGGUCCACGUUGCAGGAUCCUCACAGGCGACCACAGCCGUCAUGUUCUCCCGCAGCAGGUGGUCGAAGUAACGCAGCUUCAACUGGUGGAACCACGUUCCAUUUGAAACCUGUGGAACAGACCAAGUCGUCACCAGGCAACAGUUUGUCAUUAGCUGGAGAACAUCCAGGAGUUCCACCGUUUCUGGUGCCUUUGGUCUCCAGUCU